GACGAACGCUGGCGGCGUGCUUAACACAUGCAAGUCGAACGGAAAGGCCCUGCUUUUGUGGGGUGCUCGAGUGGCGAACGGGUGAGUAACACGUGAGUAACCUGCCCUUGACUUUGGGAUAACUUCAGGAAACUGGGGCUAAUACCGGAUAGGAGCUCCUGCUGCAUGGUGGGGGUUGGAAAGUUUCGGCGGUUGGGGAUGGACUCGCGGCUUAUCAGCUUGUUGGUGGGGUAGUGGCUUACCAAGGCUUUGACGGGUAGCCGGCCUGAGAGGGUGACCGGCCAUAUUGGGACUGAGAUACGGCCCAGACUCCUACGGGAGGCAGCAGUGGGGAAUAUUGCACAAUGGGCAGAAGCCUGAUGCAGCAACGCCGCGUGCGGGAUGACGGCCUUCGGGUUGUAAACCGCUUUCGCCUGCGACGAAGCGUGAGUGACGGUAAUGGGUAAAGAAGCACCGGCUAACUACGUG
rnacentral:rRNA from 1 species